CCUGUUCCAGUGACGGUAUAGGGUUAGGGGGUGUUACAUUACCAUUGAAGCUUGGAAACAUUCAUAUUUCCUAUGCCGAAACUACAUCCUAAAUGAAUUGCCAGAUGCACUGUAUGAAGUGUAUAGUGAUAAGAAAACAACUAAGGAAUUAUUGACAUCGUUAUACCAUAAAUACAAAGCCGAGGAUGCUAGAACUAAAAAGUUCUUAGUUGAUAAAUUCUUGAAUUUUGUAAUGGUUUAUUCUAAAUUAGUUGUGAAUCAAAUGCAGGAGCUUCAACUAAUCAUUCACGGAAAUUCUUGCUGAAGGGAUGAUAAUAAGUGAAUCCUUCCAAGUGACAGCCAUUAUUGAGAAGUAGCCUCCUGCUUGGAAUGACUUCAAGAAUUACCUAAAGCACAAAAGAAAGGAAAUAUUAGUGGAAGACCUAAUUGUUAGACUUCAUAUUGAAGAAGACAAUAGAUGUACGGAAAAGAGACUCAACAAAGCAGCAAAUGGGCAAUGUUGAUAAAGCAAACGUCAUAGAAGUCAAGAAAGACUUCAAGAAGGGUAAAAACCACAAAAUGGGCCUAAACUGGGACCAAAAUGUGAGGUUUUCAAGAAGCAAAAAUUUAAAGGAAAAUGCUUUAAUUGCAACAAGAUGGGGCACAAGUCAUCUGGCUAUAGGAUCCUAAAGAAAGUUAGAGCUAACGAGACUAAUGCUGUGGAAGAAAUUUCCAAGGAAGUGUUCGAUAUUGAAUUAUGUGCCUAACUAUGAAUAAGAAUGUUCUUAGUAAAGGGGAAUAUUUGUGGGAAGGGGAUAUGUAUUAAACUAAAUGUUAUCUCUAUAAAAGCAAAACUAUGAAUAAGAAUGUUGUUUUUUCCUUUCAUUUGCUUAAGUCAUUUAAUUAAUGCCAUAGUAAGCUCGGAUAUGUUAAUUAUGGUACUUUAUGUACAUAAAUUAAUUUAGAGCACAUUCUUUCGUUUCGCAAUAAUUAUAAUUAUAAAUGUGAAACAUAAGUUGAGGCAAAUUAAUAAAGGUCAAAAAUCACUUGAUCUAAUACAUAACAAUGCUUCUAAAGCUUGCUUAAACGACAUGAAGGAAUAAAAAUGUUUAUUACCUUCAUUACUAUAAGCUAAGACGUAGAGAAUUUAUUCUCUAUAAGCAAGUAAGUUGAAAACCAACUUAAUAAAAAAUUAAGUAAUCAUGAUGGUAGAUAUAUUGAAUCAUUUCAAUAACACGACCAUACUUUCCUAAAAUAGAGUAACCGAAAAGAAAAUCAAAGUCUAAAGGAAAAGAUGAACGCACUGCUCAAAAGCUCUAGGUUAUCACAUGAAAUGUAAAUUACCUUUUAAUUAAGGUACCCCCCAAGAAAAGGGACGAGACACCACAUGAGUUAUGGAAAGGUAGAAAACCAUUCUACAACCACUUGAAAGUGUGGAGGUUGUCUUGCUAGUGUAACAUAUAAUGGUAAGUCGAAACAUAUGCGACGUCAACAUAAUACCAUUAAACAAAUGAUCUCAAAUGGAGUUAUCUAUAUUGAUUUUGAAAAAUUAAAAGAUAAUAUUAUAGAUUCCUUAAUUAAAGGCUUAAACCGAGAUCAUGUUGUUAAAACAUAGAAAGGAAUGUGAUUAAAGCCCAUGAAAAUAAAAGUCGCUAUGUGAAGGAAAACCCUACCUAGUUGACUGAAGAUCCCAAGAUCUAGGUUCAAAGGGACAACCUAAUUGCAUAGACCUUGUGAGGUCGCUGUGUGGGUACUUAUCCCAAGUCCGUUCCUGUGAUGUAAACAGUGACUAAAAAAGGAUAGGUUAAGCAAUGCUUUUAAUGACCAUUGUGUGUUUCGAUGAGCCGAACAACAUAAGUCACCUAUGUGAGAGUGAAGUAGGGCUGCUUCAAAGAGACUAUUGAGGCGUAGUUCUCUUAAACUCUUUUAUAACCAAGAGAUGUUCACAACUAUAUGAACAUACCCAUGAGAACUAAAAUCUUGCCAGGGAGGUAGUUGUGUGAGGUAUAUCAUCGUUUACACAAAAGGCAGAACAGUUCAAAGACAUCACGUCUACUGGUCAGCUAGUAAAGUAAAUAUACUUUCACAAGGGAAGGUUUAAGGGUGGAUAUGUAACGUCCCCUAACCCUAUACCAUCGUCGGAACAGGGUUACGAAACAUUACCAGUCAGUACAGUCCAAUUUCAGUCAUUAAUUAAAAUAAAUAUUCAUACUCAUCCUAGUUUUAAGAUGUCGUCCCUUUAAUGGGCCCUCGCGGUCCAAUAUGGACAGUAAAUUCAAUUUGGAACUAAUUUAGAAUCAAUACGAAUUUUUUUUUUAUAUUUCAAAAUUCAUACUAUAUACCGUUUCCAACCAUAAUUUACUUAUUUCAUCAAUACUUUUACAACUUAAAUGACUCUCAUUAAACAUCCUAGGUACAUGCCAUUAUCAAUACUCAACAUACUUUACCUUAUUGAAUUCGGGAUCGGCCUGGAAUGCUGAUUCAACAGUCUAGCCUUAACUUAACCUGCGCACGGAAACAAACCGUACGCUGAGUAUACACUCAGUGGUAUUUCUAUAAUCCGAACACUUGAUAAUAUAACAAUUAAACUUAAAAUCACAAUAACAAAUAUAACUAUUGAUUUAUUUAUUUUAUAGAUAAGUUUCAUUUACUUACCAUAAAAAUUCUAUACAAGCCAUAUAACAAACACAACAACAUAUUUGCUCAAUUCUUUUCAUUUGCUUACCGUAUAAAUUCUUUACAAUAUCUUCACAAUUCAUUUGUAUUCACACUUUACUUCUUAACAAUAUACCAUUUUAAUUCAUUCUAACAUCAAUCAUCAUCCAUUUGAACUUCACUCAUUUCAUGAACCUUUUGAUUCAUGUUUUCAAUCUCAUAUCUCAAGUUCAAUUCUCAAUUCAAUUUCUCAUUUCAUUCCAAUAGCUCAAUCAAUCAAAUUCACUCGAUUUAUCUUUUCACUUAUUUACCCUUAUUAACAAGACUCGGACUCUGAUAGAUACGUGGAUUCCUCCCAAACACACCAAAAUAUCCAACCCAAACACACCAGAAUAUCCAACCCAAACACACCCGGAAUAUUAUAAAUCCUCCAUAACACACCAGUAUAUCAUAUCCUCCCAAACACACCAAUAAGGCAUUAAAUGCCUCUUCAGAUAAACCGAAGUAUAUAAUAACAGAAACAUCUUCUCGGCCGAACUAUAAAUCUCCUCAUCACAUCAUAAAUCCAAUGGCAUGCCAUUUGUAUCCAAUCUGGUCCGAUACUGUUAAUAGGGUAUUUGAUUCACUUUCUCAAUUUAAUAAAUCUUUCAUCAAUAUACCAUUCUAAUAAUCACAUAUAUUCACACAUUUUCAUAAUUUCAUAUAUUUUCAUUCAAUUCAACAAAUAUAUUUCAAUUAUUCACAUUAAUUCAUAAUUCAAUACAACUCAAUUCACUUUUCAAUAUCAAAUAUUCAAUUAUCACAAAUCUCAUAUAUUCAUAUCAAUUCCCUCAUAUUCCAAUCAAUAUAAUUUUUCAAUAUAACAUUCAUUCAAUAUUCAAAUUUUUACAUAAAUCAUAUAUAUAAUAUAUAUUUCAAUCAAUAAAAAUUCAAUCAAAAUGAUUUCAAUCAAUAUAAAUUUGAUAAAUUCAUCACAUACCAAAAUCAAUCCAUUUUAAUUGUAAAACAUCAUAAUUCUAACACAAACAAUUGUCAUAUGUAUAUAAAUAUAACAAAUAAUGACUGAGUUCGGAUUAUAGAAAUACAAACCGUAAUUUUCGGUACCACAUUGACUACGAAAUUAAUACAAUUCAUAAUCAUUAAUACAUUACUAAUUUAUAUCUUGAGUUACAGAAUUCUAAAUUAAGAUCCGUUAAUUUUUCCUGAAACUAGACUCACAAAUCUUCUUACCAUAAAAUUUUCAGAAUUUUUGGUUUAGCCAUUAAGUACAGUUUAUUCUUUAAAUUCACCCCUAUUCUGCUGUCUAACAGUUUCGACCCUUCUUCACUAAAAAUUAAUUAUCUCAUAGUACAGAACUCAGAUAAUAUUCCUGUUGAUUUCACCUAAAAAUAGACUCAUUAGGGAUUCUAAACAUAUAACUUUAACCCUCUAAUUAUUUUUCUCCAAUUUUUGGUGAUUUUCCAAAGUCAGAACAGGGGAACCCAAAUUCAUUCUGACCUUGUCUCACAAAAUUCAUUAUAUCUCAUAAUUUACAAUUCAAUUUCUUAAACCGUUUCUUUUAUAAGAAACUAGACUCAAUAAGAUUUAAUUCCAUAUUUUAUUCAUCCUCUAAUUCAAUUUCUAAAAUUUUUGAUGAUUUUUUAAAGUUAGACUACUGCUGCUAUCCAAAAUAGUCUUAGUGCAAAAUGUUGAUUUUCUACUUUUAAUUUCAAUUUAAUCCUAACUAAAUUCACUUACUUUUCUAUCUUAAUCCUAACUAAAUUCUGCUAUCUAACAGUUUCGACCCUUCUUCACUAAAAAUUAAUUAUCUCACAAUACAGAACUCGGAUAAUAUUCCUGUUGAUUUCUCCUAAAAAUAGACUCAUUAGGGAUUCUAAACAUAUAACUUUAACCCUCUAAUUAUUUUUCUCCAAUUUUUGGUGAUUUUUCAAAGUCAGAACAGGGGAACCCGAAUUCAUUCUGACCUUGUCUUACAAAAUUCAUUAUAUCUCAUAAUUUACAAUUCAAUUGCUUAAACCGUUUCUUUUAUAAGAAACUAGACUCAAUAAGCUUUAAUUCCAUAUUUUAUUCAUUCUCUAAUUCAAUUUCUACAAUUUUUGAUGAUUUUUCAAAGUUAGACUACUACAGCUGUCCAAAAUAGUCUUAGUGCAAAAUGUUGAUUUUCUACUUUUAAUUUCAAUUUAAUCCUAACUAAAUUCACUUACUUUUCUAUCUUAAUCCUAACUAAAUUCUGCUGUCUGACAGUUUCGACCCUUCUUCACUAAAAAUUAAUUAUCUCACAGUACAGAACUCGGAUAAUAUUCCUGUUGAUUUCUCCUAAAAAUAGACUCAUUAUGGAUUCUAAACAUAUAACUUUAACCCUCUAAUUAUUUUUCUCCAAUUUUUGGUGAUUUUCCAAAGUCAGAACAGGGGAACCCGAAUUCAUUCUGACCUUAUCUCACAAAAUUCAUUAUAUCUCAUAAUUUACAAUUCAAUUGCUUAAACCGUUUCUUUUAUAAGAAACUAGACUCAAUAAGCUUUAAUUCCAUAUUUUAUUCAUCCUCUAAUUCAAUUUCUACAAUUUUUGAUGAUUUUUCAAAGUUAGACUACUGCUGCUGUCCAAAAUAGUCUUAGUGCAAAAUGUUGAUUUUCUACUUUUAAUUUCAAUUUAAUCCUAACUAAAUUCACUUACUUUUCUAUCUUAAUCCUAACUAAAUUCUGUUGUCUGACAGUUUCGACCCUUCUUCACUAAAAAUUAAUUAUCUCACAGUACAGAACUCGGAUAAUAUUCCUGUUGAUUUCACCUAAAAAUAGACUCAUUAGGGAUUCUAAACAUAUAACUUUAACCCUCUAAUUAUUUUUCUCUAAUUUUUGGUGAUUUUUCAAAGUCAGAACAGGGGAACCCGAAUUCAUUCUGCCCUUGUCUCACAAAAUUCAUUAUAUCUCAUAAUUUACAAUUCAAUUUCUUAAACCGUUUCUUUUAUAAGAAACUAGACUCAAUAAGCUUUAAUUCCAUAUUUUAUUCAUUCUCUAAUUCAAUUUCUACAAUUUUUGAUGAUUUUUCAAAGUUAGACUACUACAACUGUCCAAAAUAGUCUUAGUGCAAAAUGUUGAUUUUCUACUUUUAAUUUCAAUUUAAUCCUAACUAAAUUCACUUACUUUUCUAUCUUAAUCCUAACUAAAUCCUGCUGUCUGACAGUUUCGACCCUUCUUCACUAAAAAUUAAUUAUCUCAUAGUACAGAACUCGGAUAAUAUUCCUGUUGAUUUAUCCUAAAAAUAGACUCAUUAGGGAUUCUAAACAUAUAACUUUAACCCUCUAAUUAUUUUUCUCCAAUUUUUGGUGAUUUUCCAAAGUCAGAACAGGGGAACCCGAAUUCAUUCUGACCUUGUCUCACAAAAUUCAUUAUAUCUUAUAAUUUACAAUUCAAUUGCUUAAACUGUUUCUUUUAUAAGAAACUAGAAUCAAUAAGCUUUAAUUCCAUAUUUUAUUCAUUCUUUCAAUUUCUACAAUUUUUGAUGAUUUUUCAAAGUUAGACUACUGCUGCUGUCCAAAAUAGUCUUAGUGCAAAAUGUUGAUUUUCUACUUUUAAUUUCAAUUUAAUCCUAACUAAAUUCACUUACUUUUCUAUCUUAAUUCAUACUUUAUUUCUACUCAGUUUUUAACCAAACUUAGACAUAGUUAUCUAUUUUUCAUCAUAAAACCAUAAUUUCGAAAUUCUUUCAAUUUAGUCCUUAAAGCAUAAAACUUAUGAAUCACUUUACAAUUCAAUCCUUAUUUCAUUUCUAACUUGAAUUUCUAUCAAUUUAGCCUUUAAUUCAUCAUUUUACUCAACAUGAACAAUAUUUAUAAAUCUAAUAACUUUCAAAAUAUCAAUUUAAUUUCAUCAAAACUUUGUUCUAAAGCUUUUAAAACAUCAAAAAUUAAGUAAAAAGGGCUAAAUUAACAUACCUAUUAAAGUUUAAAGCUUCAAAACCUCGAUUUUCCCUUUUCUCUCUUUCUUUCUUUCUUUCCUUUCUUUCUCCCAUGUUCUUCUCUGUUUCGUUUACUUUCAUUUCUUUUAUUUCAUUUAUUUCUUUAUU
rnacentral:lncRNA from 1 species